CACACCUCAAUCUCAAAUUAGUUAGGAUCAGUUAUAUGCAUCCUCUAAAUGGAUUAAUUACUUUUACACAAAAGUGGAUCCAAGAUUUAAACUUUAUGGAUUUCUGAAUUCUAGGAUAGCGACCUCAAGUGGUAGUAACUGAGUUCCGUAUUUAAUUUUUAUAACUUUUACACAGAGGCGGAUCCAACAUUUGAACUUUAUGGAUUUCUGAAAUCUAGGAUAGCGACCUCAAGUGGUAGUAACUGAAUUCAAAAUUUAAUUUUAACACAUAUUCAGUAGAUUUCUCAACACAUAUACAGGCUUCUUCCCCUGCUUUUACGUUAUUGUCAAA
rnacentral:lncRNA from 1 species